ensembl:snRNA U6 U6 spliceosomal RNA
GUGCUCCCUCCAGCAGCAUAUAUACUAAAAUCGUAGAGAUACAGGGAAGAUUAGCAAGACUACCGUGCAAGGAUGAUGCAUAUUCGUGAUGUGUUCCAUAUUUUU